rnacentral:rRNA from 1 species
UACAAACGCUGGCGGCGCACAUAAGACAUGCAAGUCGAACGAAGCACCUUGAUUUGAUUCUUCGGAUGAAGAUCUUGGUGACUGAGUGGCGGACGGGUGAGUAACGCGUGGGUAACCUGCCUCAUACAGGGGGAUAACAGUUAGAAAUGACUGCUAAUACCGCAUAAGACCACAGCACCGCAUGGUGCAGGGGUAAAAACUCCGGUGAUAUGAGAUGGACCCGCGUCUGAUUAGGUAGUUGGUGGGGUAACGGCCUACCAAGCCGACGAUCAGUAGCCGACCUGAGAGGGUGACCGGCCACAUUGGGACUGAGACACGGCCCAA